CACGUCAUGCCCAGUAUAUAAACCGGGGGGAGUUACCCGGAAGGCCCUGAUCACUGCUCGGGUCGGGCUGGGUAUCGGUCGGCGGGUGCUUUAAAUCCAAAGAAGCUGUACUCCAUCAAGAAAUGACAACAGCAAGCUUAAUGCCACUGUGAAAGUCCCAAAUGAAAUUUGGCAGUAGUCAGAAAGUGGCCAGAUAAUAAGGCUAUGACUCGACAGGUACGAUGAAGGAACAGUUGCAUUUAUGAAGCCACUGACUAUGGUCCCAGCGUCAGAUGAGUGACAGUUGGAAAAGCCUUUGGUCGCCAAGCUUUUAAAGACAACAGAGCAACUAUGCAAUUAUCUAUGAAACCUAUUGCAAGAAGAAAAUAUACGCAAAAUGCUUUUGCAGCACCAGUCAGGGGAAGAAAAGUAAAAGAAUGAAAAAAGGAAGACUUAAUCUCACACUACUGUCCUUUGCACUCUUCUGGUGAUCUAAAAAGACUACCAUGGUGGUACCGUUAUAAGGCAACAGAUAACUGUGUAAUAAAGGUAAAUGACCUACUGA